rnacentral:rRNA from 1 species
UACGUAGGGCGCAAGCGUUGUCCGGAAUUAUUGGGCGUAAAGAGCUCGUAGGCGGCUUGUCACGUCGGGUGUGAAAGCCCGGGGCUUAACCCCGGGUCUGCAUUCGAUACGGGCUAGCUAGAGUGUGGUAGGGGAGAGUCGUGAAUUCCUGGUGUAGCGGUAGAAAUGCGCAGAUAUCAGGAGGAACACCGGUGGCGAAGGCGGAUCUCUGGGCCAUUACUGACGCUGAGGAGCGAAAGCGUGGGGAGCGAACAGG